CACGCCGACGAUAGCACGCUGAAUGCAAAAGUUCCCAUGGAUCACUCGAGUUAAUGAACGUUGCGCCUGGUUAAUAUCCGGAUGGGUGACCCUGGGCAAUCGCAAGCGGCUGACUUUU
rnacentral:rRNA from 1 species